GAUAUGAAUAUGAAACAACGAUUUUACCUACAAGCAACUUGUCCUCAAACAGCUUCUUGUGUAUGGAGAACCAAACCCAGACCUUAAAUCCAGCGCAAGACCCAGCAGGUUGACUCCUGCUUCUCAUUGCUUUCAGCUCAGAGACUCAGACACAGAAUGUUCUUUUAUGAAGGGUUUUAAUACGACACUGGGUUUAGUAGACAUGUGAGACAAAUGAACACAAUUUAUUUCCCUCUUCAUGGAAGGGAUAUGUUAAUAACCUAGACUACUCUUCCUCCUGA
rnacentral:lncRNA from 1 species